rnacentral:rRNA from 1 species
CGAGCGAGUCUGCCUUGAAGAUCGGAGUGCUUGCACUCUGUGAAACAAGAUACAGGCUAGCGGCGGACGGGUGAGUAACACGUGGGUAACCUGCCCAAGAGAUCGGGAUAACACCUGGAAACAGAUGCUAAUACCGGAUAACAACAGAUGAUGCCUAUCAACUGUUUAAAAGAUGGUUCUGCUAUCACUCUUGGAUGGACCUGCGGUGCAUUAGCUAGUUGGUAGGGUAACGGCCUACCAAGGCGAUGAUGCAUAGCCGAGUUGAGAGACUGAUCGGCCACAUUGGGACUGAGACACGGCCCAAACUCCUACGGGAGGCAGCAGUAGGGAAUCUUCCACAAUGGACGCAAGUCUGAUGGAGCAACGCCGCGUGAGUGAAGAAGGGCUUCGGCUCGUAAAGCUCUGUUGUUGGUGAAGAAGGACAGGGGUAGUAACUGACCUUUGUUUGACGGUAAUCAAUUAGAAAGUCACGGCUGACUACGUGCCAGCAGCCGCGGUAAUACGUAGGUGGCAAGCGUUGUCCGGAUUUAUUGGGCGUAAAGCGAGUGCAGGCGGCUCGAUAAGUCUGAUGUGAAAGCCUUCGGCUCAACCGGAGAAUUGCAUCAGAAACUGUCGAGCUUGAGUACAGAAGAGGAGAGUGGAACUCCAUGUGUAGCGGUGAAAUGCGUAGAUAUAUGGAAGAACACCGGUGGCGAAGGCGGCUCUCUGGUC